CUUGUUUCCUCUCUCAUGCUCUUUGUUUAGUUAAGCAUUUGU
rnacentral:lncRNA from 1 species